AAUAUUGUUCAAUGGACGCAAGUCUGAACCAGCCAUGCCGCGUGUAGGAAGACUGNCCNNCGGGUNGNAAACUGCUUUUGUUCNNNNNCAAACCCUUCACCGUGUAGGAGGCUGAGUGUACCGUAAGAAGAAGGAUCGGCCAACUCCGUGCCAACAGCCGCGGUAAUACGGAGGAUCCAAGCGUUAUCCGGAUUUAAUGGGUUUAAAGGGUGCGUAGGCGGCCCGUUAAGUCAGGGGUGAAAGACGGCAGCUCAACUGUCGCAGUGCCUUUGAUACUGACGGACUUGAAUGCGGAUAAGGUAGGCGGAAUGAGACAAGUAGCGGUGAAAUGCAUAGAUAUGUCUCAGAACUCCGAUUGCGAAGGCAGCUUACUAAGCCGUGAUUGACGCUGAUGCACGAAAGCGUGGGGAUCAAACA
rnacentral:rRNA from 1 species